UGGGGAAUUUUGGACAAUGGGCGAAAGCCUGAUCCAGCAAUGCCGCGUGUGUGAAGAAGGCCUUCGGGUUGUAAAGCACUUUUGUCCGGAAAGAAAUCCUUGGCUCUAAUACAGUCGGGGGAUGACGGUACCGGAAGAAUAAGCACCGGCUAACUACGUGCCAGCAGCCGCGGUAAUACGUAGGGUGCAAGCGUUAAUCGGAAUUACUGGGCGUAAAGCGUGCGCAGGCGGUUUGCUAAGACCGAUGUGAAAUCCCCGGGCUCAACCUGGGAACUGCAUUGGUGACUGGCAGGCUAGAGUAUGGCAGAGGGGGGUAGAAUUCCACGUGUAGCAGUGAAAUGCGUAGAGAUGUGGAGGAAUACCGAUGGCGAAGGCAGCCCCCUGGGCCAAUACUGACGCUCAUGCACGAAAGCGUGGGGAGCAAACAGGAUUAGAUACCCUGGUAGUCCACGCCCUAAACGAUGUCAACUAGUUGUGGGAUUCAUUCUUAGUAACGUAGCUAACGCGUGAAGUUGACCGCCUGGGGAGUACGGUCGCAAGAUUAAAACUCAAAGGAAUUGACGGGGUC
rnacentral:rRNA from 1 species